GGCCCAAAUCUGAAGUAGGGUACAUUAGUAUGGUCAGCUAAUCCUACUACUCCACUGUAGUUCAAAAUUGGGCUC
rnacentral:pre_miRNA from 1 species